rnacentral:rRNA from 1 species
GGGUUGUGAGGUUAAGCGACUAAGCGUACACGGUGGAUGCCCUGGCAGUCAGAGGCGAUGAAGGACGUGCUAAUCUGCGAUAAGCGUCGGUAAGGUGAUAUGAACCGUUAUAACCGGCGAUUUCCGAAUGGGGAAACCCAGUGUGUUUCGACACACUAUCAUUAACUGAAUCCAUAGGUUAAUGAGGCGAACCGGGGGAACUGAAACAUCUAAGUACCCCGAGGAAAAGAAAUCAACCGAGAUUCCCCCAGUAGCGGCGAGCGAACGGGGAGCAGCCCAGAGCCUGAAUCAGUGUGUGUGUUAGUGGAAGCGUCUGGAAAGGCGCGCGAUACAGGGUGACAGCCCCGUACACAAAAAUGCACAUGCUGUGAGCUCGAUGAGUAGGGCGGGACACGUGGUAUCCUGUCUGAAUAUGGGGGGACCAUCCUCCAAGGCUAAAUACUCCUGACUGACCGAUAGUGAACCAGUACCGUGAGGGAAAGGCGAAAAGAACCCCGGCGAGGGGAGUGAAAAAGAACCUGAAACCGUGUACGUACAAGCAGUGGGAGCACGCUUAGGCGUGUGACUGCGUACCUUUUGUAUAAUGGGUCAGCGACUUAUAUUCUGUAGCAAGGUUAACCGAAUAGGGGAGCCGAAGGGAAACCGAGUCUUAACUGGGCGUUAAGUUGCAGGGUAUAGACCCGAAACCCGGUGAUCUAGCCAUGGGCAGGUUGAAGGUUGGGUAACACUAACUGGAGGACCGAACCGACUAAUGUUGAAAAAUUAGCGGAUGACUUGUGGCUGGGGGUGAAAGGCCAAUCAAACCGGGAGAUAGCUGGUUCUCCCCGAAAGCUAUUUAGGUAGCGCCUCGUGAAUUCAUCUCCGGGGGUAGAGCACUGUUUCGGCAAGGGGGUCAUCCCGACUUACCAACCCGAUGCAAACUGCGAAUACCGGAGAAUGUUAUCACGGGAGACACACGGCGGGUGCUAACGUCCGUCGUGAAGAGGGAAACAACCCAGACCGCCAGCUAAGGUCCCAAAGUCAUGGUUAAGUGGGAAACGAUGUGGGAAGGCCCAGACAGCCAGGAUGUUGGCUUAGAAGCAGCCAUCAUUUAAAGAAAGCGUAAUAGCUCACUGGUCGAGUCGGCCUGCGCGGAAGAUGUAACGGGGCUAAACCAUGCACCGAAGCUGCGGCAGCGACACUAUGUGUUGUUGGGUAGGGGAGCGUUCUGUAAGCCUGUGAAGGUGUGCUGUGAGGCAUGCUGGAGGUAUCAGAAGUGCGAAUGCUGACAUAAGUAACGAUAAAGCGGGUGAAAAGCCCGCUCGCCGGAAGACCAAGGGUUCCUGUCCAACGUUAAUCGGGGCAGGGUGAGUCGACCCCUAAGGCGAGGCCGAAAGGCGUAGUCGAUGGGAAACAGGUUAAUAUUCCUGUACUUGGUGUUACUGCGAAGGGGGGACGAAGAAGGCUAUGUUGGCCGGGCGACGGUUGUCCCGGUUUAAGCGUGUAGGCUGGUUUUCCAGGCAAAUCCGGAAAAUCAAGGCUGAGGCGUGAUGACGAGGCACUACGGUGCUGAAGCAACAAAUGCCCUGCUUCCAGGAAAAGCCUCUAAGCAUCAGGUAACAUCAAAUCGUACCCCAAACCGACACAGGUGGUCAGGUAGAGAAUACCAAGGCGCUUGAGAGAACUCGGGUGAAGGAACUAGGCAAAAUGGUGCCGUAACUUCGGGAGAAGGCACGCUGAUAUGUAGGUGAAGUCCCUUGCGGAUGGAGCUGAAAUCAGUCGAAGAUACCAGCUGGCUGCAACUGUUUAUUAAAAACACAGCACUGUGCAAACACGAAAGUGGACGUAUACGGUGUGACGCCUGCCCGGUGCCGGAAGGUUAAUUGAUGGGGUCAGCGCAAGCGAAGCUCUUGAUCGAAGCCCCGGUAAACGGCGGCCGUAACUAUAACGGUCCUAAGGUAGCGAAAUUCCUUGUCGGGUAAGUUCCGACCUGCACGAAUGGCGUAAUGAUGGCCAGGCUGUCUCCACCCGAGACUCAGUGAAAUUGAACUCGCUGUGAAGAUGCAGUGUACCCGCGGCAAGACGGAAAGACCCCGUGAACCUUUACUAUAGCUUGACACUGAACAUUGAGCCUUGAUGUGUAGGAUAGGUGGGAGGCUUGGAAGUGUGGACGCCAGUCUGCAUGGAGCCGACCUUGAAAUACCACCCUUUAAUGUUUGAUGUUCUAACGUUGACCCGUAAUCCGGGUUGCGGACAGUGUCUGGUGGGUAGUUUGACUGGGGCGGUCUCCUCCUAAAGAGUAACGGAGGAGCACGAAGGUUGGCUAAUCCUGGUCGGACAUCAGGAGGUUAGUGCAAUGGCAUAAGCCAGCUUGACUGCGAGCGUGACGGCGCGAGCAGGUGCGAAAGCAGGUCAUAGUGAUCCGGUGGUUCUGAAUGGAAGGGCCAUCGCUCAACGGAUAAAAGGUACUCCGGGGAUAACAGGCUGAUACCGCCCAAGAGUUCAUAUCGACGGCGGUGUUUGGCACCUCGAUGUCGGCUCAUCACAUCCUGGGGCUGAAGUAGGUCCCAAGGGUAUGGCUGUUCGCCAUUUAAAGUGGUACGCGAGCUGGGUUUAGAACGUCGUGAGACAGUUCGGUCCCUAUCUGCCGUGGGCGCUGGAGAACUGAGGGGGGCUGCUCCUAGUACGAGAGGACCGGAGUGGACGCAUCACUGGUGUUCGGGUUGUCAUGCCAAUGGCACUGCCCGGUAGCUAAAUGCGGAAGAGAUAAGUGCUGAAAGCAUCUAAGCACGAAACUUGCCCCGAGAUGAGUUCUCCCUGACCCUUUAAGGGUCCUGAAGGAACGUUGAAGACGACGACGUUGAUAGGCCGGGUGUGUAAGCGCAGCGAUGCGUUGAGCUAACCGGUACUAAUGAACCGUGAGGCUUAACCUUACAACGCCGAAG